rnacentral:rRNA from 1 species
ACCACAACGGGUGGAGCUUGCGGUUUAAUUGGAUUCAACGCCGGAAAUCUUACCGGGACCGACAGCAAUAUGAAGGCCAGGCUGAAGACUUUGCCGGAUUAGCUGAGAGGUGGUGCAUGGCCGUCGUCAGUUCGUACUGUGAAGCAUCCUGUUAAGUCAGGCAACGAGCGAGACCCACGCCCACAGUUGCCAGCGUACUCUCCGGAGUGACGGGUACACUGUGGGACCGCCGCUGCUAAAGCGGAGGAAGGAAUGGGCAACGGUAGGUCAGUAUGCCCCGAAUAUCCCGGGCUACACGCGAGCUACAAUGGUUGGUACAAUGGGUAUCUACCCCGAAAGGGGACGGGAAUCUCCUAAAACCAAUCUUAGUUCGGAUUGAGGGCUGCAACUCGCCCUCAUGAAGCUGGAAUCCGUGGUAAUCGCGUUUCAACAGAACGCGGUGAAUACGUCCCUGCUCCUU